AUACGGAAGGUCCGGGCGUUAUCCGGAUUUAUUGGGUUUAAAGGGAGCGCAGGCGGAGAUGCAAGCGUGACGUCAAAUUUCGGGGCUCAACCCCGUCUCGCGUCGCGAACUGCGUCCCUUGGUUGCGGGAAGGGGAGGCGGAACUCGUGGUGUAGCGGUGAAAUGCAUAGAUAUCACGAAGAACUCCGAUCGCGAAGGCAGCCUUCCGGCCCGUCAACGACGCUCAUGCUCGAAGGUGCGGGUAUCAAACAGGAUUAGAUACCCUGGUAGUCCGCACAGUAAACGAUGGACACCCGCGGUUUGGCCUGUAUGGCUGAGCCGCCAAGCGAAAGCGUUAAGCGUCCCACCUGGGGAGUACGCCGGCAACGGUGAAACUCAAAGGAAUUGACGGGG
rnacentral:rRNA from 1 species